UGUUCUCGAAAUAUAUUUGGAAGAAUUUUCCUUUAAAAAUUUGUGUUAUAAUUUAAUAUCAGAAAUAAAUCAUUCAAAUGGAAAAUUUUGAGGAGGAGCAUUGCAGGUUAUGCCUUAAUGUCGUAAGCGAUGGACAUUUUGAAAAGAUAAAAAACAUUACGAAGGAUAUUUUUGAUGCUCUUCUACUAAAGUUGAAUUUUGAUGAAGGAAAUGACCACAUAAUAUGUAAUGUUUGUUCAACAAAGAUAACGGAAGCAUUUAAAUUUAAGUCAAUGUGUCUCUAUACCAAUAAUACCCUAGUUCCUUACGUCAGUGAUCAAACAGGAUGUUCUGUUGACUUAAGAGAGAUUUAUGCAAAGGAAUCGGGAAACAAAAAAUUAACUGACUCAUUGGGAGAUCAUAAAGUUUGCAGGUUAUGUAUGCAGCUAAUAAUGGGCCGAUUUGUAUCCGUACAUGAACUUCAGACUGAUGUGAUUGACAAGUAUAUUCCAGAAAUAAAUUUCAGUGUUAUCGAAGAUCCCAUUAUUUGUAGACAAUGUUUUUAUUCCUUUGGUGUUCACAGCAGUUUCAUAAAGAGUUGCUUAGAAGUUCAGGAAAAAAUUAAAGGUUCCCAUAACACAGAAGACCCUGGCAAUCGAGCCUUGACAUCAAAAUUAGAUACGUAUGUGAAAACUGAGGAGAUUGAUAUAAAAUCUGAAAUAAGUGAACGUGAACAAGAAUUGCUUGAAAUUUAUUCUGUUGUGCCAGAAUUGGAAGGUAAAGAAACAUCAAAUGAAAUGGAGUAUAAAGAUAUAAAAUUGGAAGAUACAGAGAGUGGCAGAACUUCAGAUAUUUCGAUUGACAGAUUUGAACACAAGAAACUUUCUGAAAGAAAAAAAAACCUACCAGAGAAAUGCUUAAAGGAGCAGAUGAAAAUGAUUUAUAAUACAGACAUAGACUCAGAAGUACGAACAUAUGAGUGUGAUUUGUGUGAUUUUACAACCAAAUAUAAGGGAAGCCUUGAAACUCGCCAGCUAACACACGCAGACUCUUCAGAAAUACAAAUGUACAAGUGCGAUGUAUGUGAUUUUAUGACAAAAAAUAAAUACAAACUUCGACCCCACCAGUUGAAACACGCGGAUCCUUCAGAAGUGCCCUUGUACAAGUGUGAUUUGUGUGAUUUUAUGACCAAAUAUAGACGCAGCCUUAGAAGUCAUCAGUUAAAACACGCAGACUCUACAGAAGUGCAAAUGUACACGUGUGAUGUCUGCGAUUUCAGAACUAAAUAUGUAAACAAUUUUAAAGCCCAUCAGGUGAAACAUGCAGACCCUUCAGAAGUGCAUAUGUACGAGUGUAAUUCAUGUGAUUAUAAGACCAACAGAAAGUUUGUUCUUAAACGUCAUCAGUUGAAACACUCAAGAGUGGAAAAGUACAAGUGUGAUUUAUGUAAUUUCACGACUAUGUAUAAGAAUAGUUUAAAUGAUCAUCAGUUGGCACAUGCGGAUCCUUCAGAAGUGCAAAUGUACACGUGUGAUGUUUGUGAAUUUAGAACGAAAUAUAUAAACAAUUUUAGGGUCCACCAGGUCAGGCAUGCAGACCCCUCAAAAGUGAGGACAUACAAAUGUAACUCAUGUGAUUAUAAGACCAAUAGAAGGGGCGUUCUUAAGCGUCAUGAGCUGAUACACUCAGGAGUACAAAAGUACAUGUGUGAUUUGUGUGGUUUUGCGACCAACUAUAAGGACAGUCUUAAGAAGCACCAGUUUACGCAUGCAGAAAUACAAAUCUACAAGUGUGAUUUAUGUGAUUUUAACACUAAUUGUGAGAAGAAUUUUAGGAUCCAUCAGUUGAGACAUGCAGACUCUCCAGAAAGCCAAGAUCAAUAACGGUUUUGUAUGCCACCAGGACUCUUUAGAUGUGUGAAUACACGAAUGUUAUAAAAUUAAAUUAUAAAACAUUCAGAAAAGGUCUUUUCACCAGUUUCACCAGUUGGAAUGCUCAAGAGCGUGAAAGUACCAGUGAUUUGUGUGAUCUUAGGACCAAAUAUAAAGAACAAUCUUAAAACUCACCAGUUGCAACACGGGUCAAAAAUAUGGAUUGGCAGAAAUUCAGAUAUUUCAUCCGACGGAUUUGAACACAAGGAAAUUUCUGAGAUAAAAGAAAACGGAUGUUUAUCUCAGGAACAGUUAAAUAACUAUAAAAUGAAAAUGAAUAAAAACACAUACGUACAUUCAGAAGUGUUUAUGUGUGGUUUGUGUGAUUUUAAGACAAAAUAUCGGAACAGCCUUGGGACGCACCACUUGAAACACGCGGACCAUUUAGAGGUACGGAUGUACAAGUGUGAUUUAUGUCAUUUUAAAUCCAAAUAUAAAAACAGUCUCAACCUUCAUCAAUUAAAACAUGCGGACCCUUCACAAGUACAAAUGUACAAAUGUGAUUUGUGUAAUUUUAAAUCCAAAUACAAAACCAGCCUUAGUCUUCAUCAGUUGAAACAUGCGGACCCUUCAGAGAUACAGAUGUACAAAUGUGAUUUGUGUAAUUUUCAGUCCAAAUACAAAAACAGUCUUAGCCUUCAUCAGCGGAAACAUGGGAAAGUACGAACGUACAGGUGUAAUUCGUGUGAUUUUAAAACCAAAUGUAAAGACAGACUUAGGAGUCACAGGUUAAGACACGUGAGACGAAAAAUAAAAGACGUUACGUAUGCCAUUUGGUGAGCCGCCAAGACAUUCCACAAGUGAGAAUAUACAAAUGCGAUUACAAUGGCAAAAAUAAAAUCUCUUUAAAACGCCGCCAAUUAGUACACAAGGGCUGCUCGGAAGUGACGAUGUACACAUGCGAGUCGUGUGAUUUUCUACCAAACACUCUUAAGGCCCACCAAUUAAGACAUGCAGAUCCUUUUAAAAGUAAAUAGGUACAAAUGCGAUAAAUGAAACUAAAGAAACCAAAAACAUACAUUUUUUUGUGAAAUCAAUAUGUAAUUUUAAAAUAAUGUAUAAAAUUUUCGCUUUUCAAUUAAAGAAAAACUAAUUUAAAUCGCACUCGUUUCACAA